UCAUGGUCUAGUGGUUAGGAUUCAACACUUUCACUGCCGUGGCCCAGGUUUGAUUCCCAGUCACAGAA